rnacentral:rRNA from 1 species
GAGCGGCGAACGGGUGAGUAACACGUGAGCAACCUACCCUCAACUUUGGGAUAAGCCUCGGAAACGGGGUCUAAUACCGGAUAACACUACGAGCCUCAUGGUUCGUGGUUGAAAGUUCUGGCGGUUGGGGAUGGGCUCGCGGCCUAUCAGCUUGUUGGUGGGGUAAUGGCCUACCAAGGCGUCGACGGGUAGCCGGCCUGAGAGGGCGACCGGCCACACUGGGACUGAGACACGGCCCAGACUCCUACGGGAGGCAGCAGUGGGGAAUAUUGCGCAAUGGACGAAAGUCUGACGCAGCAACGCCGCGUGAGGGAUGACGGCCUUCGGGUUGUAAACCUCUUUCACCCAUGACGAAGCGAGAGUGACGGUAGUGGGAGAAGAAGGACCGGCCAACUACGUGCCAGCAGCCGCGGUAAUACGUAGGGUCCGAGCGUUGUCCGGAAUUAUUGGGCGUAAAGGGCUCGUAGGCGGUUCGUCACGUCGGGA